UUCUUGAAACCAAUUACAUCAAUAUUUAUCCAAAUAUAUAGAAAGCAAUUUUGAUAAGACCUGUUAGUUUUAUAUUCAAGAAAAAAGAUUGCACUAUUGCAUUGUGUUUUCAGUUUUCCCCUUUGUUAAAGUUAUGCUUCCAGAACUCUUAUUUAUUGCAACAUUUUAAUUUAGUUUAAAAAAGUUUACCCAUUACAUUGAUUAUGUUUUGUGGUAUGUGUUUGUAGAAGCUGUCAUCACAUGUUUUAUUUUUAUUGGAAAGACAGAGAAGAAGUUUUCUUGAAACCGGAUCCUCUCACCCCAAAUAUCAACUUAUACGCCCCAACCCCUCUGAAGCGAACACUUGAAAUAUUCUUUCGUUUGAUCUCAGCAAACCAAAUGUCCAGAAUCUUGAAGCAAAGCAGAGACAUAACGAUUGAUUUUCAUCCACUUUUUUCUUCGAUAUCUCUGCUUUCACCCAAAUCGACGCUUCUCACAGGCGAUGGCCAUAGUGGACAGAGGGUUUGUUUUUUCCAGUCUGAUUCCACUAUCUGUUCCUCAAUUUUACAAGCGUGAGAUCAGGAAGACAGAGAAGAAAUUUUGGUUAUAUUUACUGCUGCUGUUAUUCUUUUUCAGCAAGAUGCCAAGGAGUUGGUUCACGUUAUGAGAUGUUGGCUGAAUUGUCGAGAAGAGAGGGAGAUGCAAACAUAAAACCUGAUCCAGAUAUCGAUGUCUUCAUGAAGGCUGCUGCUACUGAAGGUUAAGAAGGUUGUCAAGUGUGGUCUGUAGCAGGAUUACAGACUUAAUGUAUGUCAAACUAAUGAUGAGGGGUAUCCAUGUCAUUUCAUUGCCACUCUUAUGGAAGGAGUCUUUCUCACUAUUUUGUUGGCCCUCAUGAAUCCAAUUUUGCUCCUGGCAGGGUUUCCGAUGACAAAUAGUUAACUGACUGGUUCUUCCAUGGGUGGUGGUAUGAAGGUUUUGGUGAAAGAAGGGAACAGGGGAGCUAGGGAGCCCUUGCUGACAUUAGAAAAAGAAAAAGGAAAGUCCCAACUGUAUUUAUACUUUAUACUAAUAAAAUUAGCAUUAAUAUAACUAAUGUCUCAAGUAUUAAAUAGGUAUGGCCUGUAAUUGUUUUAUAUCCAGGUUGAAGAGUAGUAGCUUUUAUUUCAAUGGGAAUGCUUAAAGUUGUUGGUUGGUUUAAAAGGGAAAAGAAGAUGAACUCAAGCUGAUGUUGAGGUUUGCAGAGUUGAUUCGGUCUAUUGAGGAAGAAGAGCAACUUCAGGGUGGUUGGAGAAAGAGCCAAAUUUAGGCCAAAGUAUUGUUAUGAUUUUGAAGAAAAGAAAAGUUCCCACACCGAGUGCAUUGUUAUAGAGGGCCACAAGAACCUCUAAUGAGGACCAAAACUGUAAUAUCACCAAAUUUGCAAAAAUCAGCUAUACUGAGCGACCAAAAGAUGCAUCUUUAUCUAAAAUCAAAAGUUGGAAAUAGUAGAAGCUGUACAUAUAUGAUUAUUCAAAUAUCACAUGAUGAGGGGCAUACUUGUAAUUUCAUUGCCACUCUUAUGAAAGGAUGGUACUAACAGCUCAUAUUGAUAGGUAGAAGAUAUACAUCUUGAGGUUGAUCCAUUGUUCUUGAAAAUCAACAUGGAUUUCACACCUCUUGGUUGUCACACCAAGAUCAUGUAAUUACAUGGAAAUAUAAUGGUGGUCUACUUAUCCACCGGCUUCUAGAGGUUUGUGAAGAAUAUAUUUAUACAGGCUAGCGUCUGAAACAGUUUUAUAUAACAGUUCUUCUUCUUGAUUGUUGUAAGACUUUAUAACCUUAAAUUCAUAAUAUGAUGAUGAUGUUGAUGAUAUGGUCAAUUUUUUUUAUUACAGUUUAGGUAAGCUAUACUAUUAUUUAAUAGUAUUCGAGUAAAUUACACGAAUGGUCCCUAUGGUUUAGCGUAAUUUGUGCGUUUGGUCCCUAACUUUUUUUUUAACUCGGAAGGUCCCUACUGUUUGUUUUUGUUACGCGUUUGAUCCCUGUUUUACUUAAAAAUACUAUUUUUCACUUGAUUUUUUUAAUUUAUUUAAAUAAACACACCCCCAACCCCACCUCAUCACCUUACCUUACAUACCCACCAUUUUUCUCUAUUAAAAUAAUAGUAUUUUUAGGUAAGACAUGGACCAACAGUGUAACAAAAACAAACCGUAGGGACCAAGCGGGUAACAAAAUCAAACAUUAGGGACCUUCCGAGUUAAAAAAUAAGUUAGGGACCAAACGUGCAAAUUACCCCAAACCAUAGGGACCAUUCGUGUAAUUUACUCAAAGUAUUCAUUAAAUCCUACUAGCAUGGUUGUUGAAAAUUGAAAUGGAUUUUACACCUGUUAGUUGACACCAAGACCUACUAUUUAUUUACAUAGUAACAAAAUUUUACACCUCUUAGUAGUUGAUUACCCAUCAUAUUACUUCUACACCAUUUGAUUUGUAACGGUAGUAUAUGAAGCCCACCAGGGGUCUUCGAUAGAAAAACGUCAUUUGAAGGAAAACAAUGGUGAAAGUCCAAAGAUUUUGGAAGCAAUCAAGUUAUGAGGUUGACUUUUAAGAACUUUGGGUGAUUACAAUGCAAAUAUGAUACAAAAUUACGUAGUAUGAUGUGGUUAGGUACCUAAGCUUAUAUAAGCUUCAGGGUGGUUGGAGAAAGAGCUAAAUACGACUGUUUGGCCAAUGUAUUGUUAUGAUUUUGAAGAAAAGAAAAAAGUUCCCACACCGAGUGCAUUGUUAUAGAGGGCCAAAAAGCUAUGUUCUAUGUAAUGUCUUUGUAAUGUUUUUUUUCCCUAUCCCAAGAAAAAUGACAAUAGUUUUGGGACCAAAUUUUCUCCAGCAAAGAAAGACAGUAUUUAAAUCAAGUUAAUAAAUAGACUGUCUAAUUAUGGCUUGAAGUUUUGAGAGAAGGCAGAUAGAAUCUAUGGGAGAAUGAGUUAAUUGAAUGAUUCUACCAUGGCUUGGGUUGUAUGAAGGUAGAAGAUAUACAUCUUGAUGUUGAUCCAUUGUUCUUGAAAAUCAACAUGGAUUUCACACAUGUUGGUUGUCACACCAAGAUCAUGUAAUUACAUGGAAAUAUAAUGGUGGUCUUGGUCUACUUAUCCACCGGCUUCUAGAGGUUUAUGAAGAAUAUAUAUAUACAGACUAGCGUCUGAAACACUUUUAUAUAACAGUUCUUCUUAUUGAUCGUUGUAAGACUUUAUAACCUUAAUUUCAUAAUAUGAUGAUGAUGUUGAUGAUAUGGUCAAUUUUUUUUAUUACAGUUUAGGUAAGCUAUACUAUUAUUUAAUAGUAUUCAUUAAAUCCUACUAGCUGAAGAAUGAUGUUUACAGUAUAUAUACUAGCUGAAGAAUGAUGUUUAAAUGGAAAUUUUAAUUAAAAAUUGAGAUAUAAGCAUGGGAACAAGAAGGGUCAAUUGAUAAGGUUUAAUACAUGUUGAGAUACUUAGGAUGAAUUAUAAAUAAAUACUGGAAGCCUGCUAGUGAUGAUGUAAAGAGAACUUGAAUGGAAAAUCUUGAAAGUUCUUUUUAGCAAUUAAUGCAAAGAUUGAUUGAUUGAUGCCAAAAGAAAUGGUAUUGCUGUACUUCAAAUUCAAUCAUAAAUUCAGGAAGUAAGUAAGUCCCAACUCCCAACCAUUGCAUCCCUCUAAAGUCUUAUUCAUUCAAUUUAAAUCUUUAAGCCUUACAUUCAUCAUAUUCUUUCCCAUCUAUAAAUUUAUCGUUUAGUAUUUCACUUUAUUUUAAGUUAUUUCUCUCAGUUUACCUCUAUUUGAUCAUAUCGAGACUGUUUUCAAGCAAAUAUCUUAUAGUUUAGUUUGAAAUCCUAACUAAGUACAUUGCUACUAUUAUUGUUCAUUUAAAAAAUCAUUUGAUUAGCUGAAAACCUGAUAAAAAAUGUAACACAACAAUAUAAUGGAAGCUAAAAAUUUGAUUGAGAACUUUGUUUGUUUAUGUUACAAGGGUUAGUUUGGGGAUAUUAACAUAUAGAGUUAUAGAACAGCCUGAAUGUAGGAUUUUGUAGUAUUUUUUAUGUUGUUAUUUAAUGCAUAAAUUAUUUGCAGGGAGAUAUGAUGACUAUGGCUUUCUAAAAACAUUACUAUUUCCAAGAGAAAAUCAACCAAAGAAGGAUUGAUCUGUUGAUUUGAUUUAUUUGUGUUGCUUUAGUUAUGAGUUUUAAUUGAUUGAUUGAUCAUUGAUCUGGUUUUGCUAUGUAGGUAUGAUGUGGUGUAAACAGCAACAUAAAUUAAAAAUUAGAAUUGAAGUAAGAUAUUAGAUACUACAAAACUGCUUAAUUGAUAUUAUUUAAUCUUUUCUUUUUUUAAAAGUUGUUUAACAUUUACUUUCUAACAGGGAUAGAAGAUAUGCAGGUGUUAUUUUUUGUCCAUUGUACUUUUAUGACGACCCUUUGAAAAUCUAAUCUCUUAUAUCUAUAUCUUUUUCACAUUCAGACAUUUUACUUUUAAUAUUUUUCCUAUUAAGACAUUAUACUUUAAAAAUCUAACUAGUUUUAGCAUUAUACUUUCCUCUGUAUUUUCCUAUUAAUUUGAUUUCAGUUUUGGGAGAGACAUCAUCUGAUUAGGAUGAACUGAAGAGUAUUUUGGCCGGAUUUUAAAACUUGGUAUUUUCUUCAAUUCAAUUGAGUUAUGAUAAUAUUACGAUUAUAAAUUUAGCAAGGUGGAAUCUAGGUUUACCCUGUUUGUUUACUCAUUUUAACAACUCAUAAUCAGCCACAGUUAUGUAUUCCUACCUUUUUAAUUAUUAUCAUCAUCUUUCAAAUCCUUUUUUGAUGGAAUAAUUAAUUGGAGCAGUUGAGAGAACCUACAAAUCUGGAAAAAAGCAAAAUGACUUUCCAUAUCCAAUGCCAUUGCCAAGGUAUGCUAUUCAAGGGACGGUGUACAUCACAAUGAGAGGCGAGAUUCCAUCUUUUUAUAUUAGCAUUUGAAGUCUCAAGCAUCUUCAUCUUGGAGAAAUUUACGUCAUUUUAAGUUAUGCUUUUCUCAUAAUAUUGUUCAUUGAGCGGAAUUUACUUCUACAUUGAUAAAAAUUUUAAAAAAUACCAAAUUCAUAUAAGAUUUUCAAGAUUUAUCAUGUUGGCUUUGAAAUUACACUUCAUAUAAGAUUUACUCUUUAUUUUAUUCUGUCUUCCUUUCCCUUAUUAAUCAGGAGGACAUAUGGGAACCAACUUUUGUUUAUUGUUUGUCUUGGCUACACAUAUACAAAAUAUGAUCUUUUUUAUUACAAUUUAGGUUUGGUAAAUUAUUUACUAAUUUAAUCCUACUAACUGAAGAAUGAUGCUUAUGGUAUAUAUAUGUAUUUCUUAUAUGCAUCAUAUAGCUUUAUAAUGUUGUAUGAAACUACAAAUCUACCAUGUGUUUUCUAAAACUUCUAAAGAAAAUCACUUUGGUCUAUGAGUUUAAAAGAUGUACUAUUUCUUCUACUCAAUUCUUUUUUUUUUUUUUUUUUUAUGAUUUCUACUUUGGAAUGGAAAUUUGAAUUGAGAAUUGAGAUAUAUUGAUGGAGUGAGAUUAGCAUGUGAUAGAGGUUGCAGAUAUCUAAAGAUGUCUUUAGUGAUGGGAAUCUUGCAUUAAGUUAAAUUUUCUAAUCAUCAAUUAAACUUCUUGUGCAGAUAAUAAACAGAGUGUCUAAUUAUGGGUUGAAGUUUUUGAUUGAAAUAGGGCUUCCAACAUCUUGUCUUCACUUAACCUUGGGAUUGAUUUGUGUGGAUAGGGUGUUAACUAUUAUUAUGAUUUGGAGAUUGUUUUUAUUAUAAACAUAUAUAGAGGAGACAUUCCCCUUUUAAUAUUUUGAUUUUAAAUUUGCAGGGGUUCCCAUGGGUGGUGGUAUGAAGGUAAUUCUUGUUGUUAUGUAUUUCUACCUUUUUUCAGUUAUUAUCAUCAUCAUACAGACAUUUUACUUUUAAAAUAUCAAACUUGUUUGACUUUGAUUACCGGUUAUAUCAUUAUACUUGCACUGUUAUCCUAUUAAGAACCAUAUAUACUUUGAAAUCUAAGCAUUUAUACUUUGAUAUUUUUUAAUCUUUAGACAUUAUAAAACAUAACAUUUAUCAAAUGUUAUUUCGUUGUACUUAUGGUUACUUCAAAAGAACAGUCUUGGUGGUAUGAUGAAUGUGGAGGCACACUGCCACGAGAGCAUCAAGUUUUCUAGGGAUUUGUUGAUUCUUCAUAGGAUAAAGAGAAGAAGCAGCAAGUAGAAUAUAACUAUUUCAACCAGUCUUUGAAAAGGCAGUGUACACAACAAAUAAUUAUUGGGCUUAGUAUCCAUACUUGUCCUAUAGAAAUGAGGGAAAAACUUGCAAUUCCUUAGGCAGAAUAAUCAGAGAGCAUUGAACCACACACGAGAAGCUGAUGUUCUGUGUAUGCUUUUUCUCUAGGAAAGCAAAGACACAGCACAACAAAGAAAAAAAAAAGGUAUUUUUUCCAGUUUAGUUUAUUAUGGCAAGUUUUUUCAUGUAAAUGUCGGGUCAUCAAAUUUAUGUGUUUUUAAUGGUUGUGAUGAUAUGAGUAGAGAUGAAGGUAGGGCCUAAGAUUGAUCAGUACUCAAACCUUGCGACUUUGAAAGCAAAGGUCCAAUUUAUCACUCGUCUUGCAGUUUCCUUGUUUAAUUGUUGGAUUCAUAACAAAGAUAGUGUAUGUUGAAUGAAAUCUAUGUUGAAUGGUUGACCUAUGGUUCUUGAAAAUCGAAAUGGAUUUCACACUUGUUGGUUGA